UUGCUCAAUAUGGAGAUAGAGUUUGUACCUGUAUGAAGUUCAAGAUGGCCGGAGCAAUCCGUGCCACCUGACCUCAACUUAAGUGCAUCGCCUUGUCAACAAUCAGUUCCUCCACAAGCGGAAUUGAUACACAAUUUACGCCUGAAUUGUCCUCUGCUCACCUUUCACUUGGGGACGUUUUUCCAUGAAUCUCUUCAGCUCCUCGAGCCACUUACCGAGGGCUCUUCCAAGUGAGGCCAUCUGUUUAUUAUUGUUUGCUUCUGGAAGUCGGUUUAUGGAGACCUUGAUGUUCAGCCUAUGAGUUUUGCCGUCCAUUAUACAAGUCUUGUUGUCAUACUUUUUUUUUUGGUCAGUCAUAAUCUACUCAUAUUCUAAUACUCACUCUUAGACUUUUGUCAUGCCUCAUUGCAGGGUGUGAGAGUCAAAACCCACACUUGAAACUAAU
rnacentral:lncRNA from 1 species